UUUAAGGCUUCCAAGGCUGAGACUCCUUGUGUUUAACCAGAGUCCCAUCACCUGUGUUGCUGCAGCAGGCAGGCUUCAGGGAGAAGCACAUACCAUGACGUUGGGUUUGCCUUAGUUUCUGUUCAUGUGUUGGAGAGUUUGUUCAACUCAUAUUCUGGUAAGAGCCACCCUUCACACUGUGUUGUUGCAGUGGAGGUUUGGGAAAGGCAAAGAUGGUGCCUUGCUGUACUCUGUCCCGUGCACUUACCUCACCAGUUAGUUUUGAAGAAGCUGUUUGGGCAAAAUGGACCAAAUUUGGCAGAUGCUCUGUUGUUACUUCAUCCUUUCUGUUGAACAGAAUUGAGCGAUCUACACUUUAAUAUCUUUUUAUAUAAAUUGCAGUGAUAAUCUGAACUCUGGAUUACACCACAGAUGAAGAACGAUGAAGCAAAGUUGUUUUCUUUCGGACAUUAAUGUUUGCGGGAAUAAGAGUCUACUCCAGAAAGCCACUGGGAUCAAUCCAUAUACUCAAGUAAGAAAAUAGAUAGGAAGUGGACACAUUCAGCAAGUCAUUGACAUUAAUAAUCACUUGUUGUCUAGAGCUGGAAGAUUACACACGUACUAUAAACGUGAUCAUGAAAGACAUCAGCACUUUGGAGAACAAAAGUUGCCCAUAGUUUUGGUGAACCCGAAACAGGAAUUUUCAGCAAUCAGUAUUUGAAAUCCAGCUGUUACCAGAAGUGGAAGAAAUCACACUCAGCACUGCUGGGAAAAUGUUUUCUGUAUAUUGGAAACUGUGGUUUUU